AGAGAGGAAAGGAGAGACAGAUCACUGUUAAACAAGUGUAGCAGAGAGGAGAGACAGAUCACUGUUAAACAAGUGUAGCAGAGAGGAGAGACAGAUCACUGUUAAACAAGUGCAGCAGAGAGGAGAGACAGAUCACUGUUAAACAAGUGUAGCAGAGAGGAAAGGAGAGACAGAUCACUGUUAAACAAGUGUAGCAGAGAGGAGAGACAGAUCACUGUUAAACAAGUGUAGCAGAGAGGAGAGACAGAUCACUGUUAAACAAGUGUAGCAGAG